UCCGAACGCAUAACAACAGGAAGUGAAGCAGCCAGUCGUCUGAGUCGCACGACUGCAAGAAGGAACCAAUCACUUAUUUAUGGAGGUAUUGAUCAUUAUGAAUGGAAUUGUUUUUUAAGACGUCACUGACCGUACUCUGUCCGCGGGGAUAGACUGUGAUGUCACCUCUGACUUUGAGUGCUCUUUGAAGACCCUCCCAUUGAGAAUGGGCCAAUCCAAGCAGAUGACGAACAUGCAUCCCUGAGAAGCGCACGUGAGCCUCGCCUGUGCCGUCGUCGAUUACCAACCUGACCAUUAUUUAUCAUCAUCAUCAUCAUCGCUUUCAAGCGAUUGUUAAUCACAUGAUACAAACUUACUUAGCUGCGCAGUCGAAGACGCAAGCUGAGGAAGACAGACACUGACUGCAAGCUGACUGAAGGAGAGAGAUCCCAUUUUAAAUUGCAGCUGCAGGAACAGGAAACACACCACGUGACCUUUGAUCCUACCCACGGUGCUGCUCUGUCGAGUCCACAGGCCCAGGUGCAUGUCGGGAACCGGUGGGCGUCCCUCAGAACUGUUCGACAACAAAAUCCAGGCUACCACUGGACCAACCACAGUGGAUUUAGCAGAGAAGCAAGCAAUCAGCCCAGCCUCUUCUUCCUCUAGCCCUGCCCCCGUGUUCAUCCAAGUCACACCAGUCUUCUGCUCCAGCCUGAGGACCACUGAGACGCAGGGGUGAGUUACCAUGGCAGCAGAUGGACUCAAAAUGUGGAUGGAAUCCUGAGAAAACUGGAGGUAAACCCUAUUGCACACGGAUACAUGCACACACUAUCAGGGAAUAUACAAAUCAAGACUGUGUCCGCGCGUGUACCUGCAGUGUUUAUGUGUGAUGAACUUGUCCUGGUCUAAGUGUUGGUAGGAGGGAAAAUCUGAUUGGAGGAAUCGCUCUGUUACCAUUGUGAACUGCUGGACACAUACUAGACAACCUGGGCACACACAUUUGUAAAGAGUUGUGAAUAUAAGUUGUCAUCAGUGUGUGACCUCUACUACCCUCCACCUGUGUACUGACCAAUCCAUGCAGUAUUCAAAAAUGCCCUUUGACCUCCCCCCUCCUCCUCCUGGGUGUUGCCUGUGACGACGCAGGCGAUAACCCCCGUAGCGUCUCUCAGCUGAAGCGCGGGUUGUGAUGGGUGAGAAGGAAGCUCCAACACGCCGACGAGCAGCAGGGGACGCCGUCUGCGGGACAUGCUUCAUAUUGUCACGCGGCCACAUGACAGAGAGAGGUUAAAACUUUACCCAAGCGUCUCUCCGGGCUCGCUCGUUGGGUCAGAAGUCAAAGUCCUGCUGGACCAGGCCAGGGCCGAGUUCAUCUCGGUUCGUGUCAGUCCUCCUCCAGCGGGUGGCAGCAGAGAGCUGAGCGAUAGUGAAGCCCAAGAGUCCUCUUGGAGGGACUUGCUUAGCUCAGAUAGGCUGAUGUAUUGAUGCUGCGCCCAGUCAGCCACAUACUGGAGGUACACGCACGCACGGACGUACACGCACGCACGGACGUAAAAAGACACAUAAGGACAUGAGAAGAUGCUUAUCACAAGCAGAGACAUAAGUAAGAUGAAAAAUGACAUUUACCUGCAUUAGCAGGCAAGAGUGAGGCUUGUCCAGCAUUUCGGUGUAGAUGUCUCGUCUUUUUUGUUGCCCUUCUCCUAACACAAUCUCCAUCAGUUUCCAUGACAGCAAACACACACAGUGGGUUGUGGUGCUGCAAAGCAGACUGACACAAGAACAGAGGAGUUAUAGUGAGUGCAGGUAGGUCUGCUCACUUUGGCACACCUUACCUGCAUCUCAGCUGGGAGCUGAGGUGGCAGGUCCACAGAUACUGGGAGACGGCCGUGCUCUUCUCCACCAGUAACCGUGGCAACACACCAUCCCCAGGACAGCUGUGAUUGGGGACUGAGCCAAUCACCCUGCUGAAGUUUGUCACCGUCAAAGUGGAGCGCAGACAAGUGCAAAGCAUGCUGGGAGGAAAAUCAGGACAGGGCCGGUAGAGGAAGUGAACGUGAUGGAGCUAAAUGUGGAAAAUGGUUAAGCGAUGAUUAGCACAAUAACUUGUUUCUGCUGUGAGUGCUGAUAGCAUGUUGAAUAUUAAUGAUAAUAAUAAUUAUUCACACUAAUUUAGCGCUUUUAAAAACAAAGGUGUAAAAAAGUAAAAUAAAAUUGCACCUGUACUUUGUCUCCCACUCGGAGCCUCCUCCUCAGCGUAGGCUGAUAGGCCAGACACAGACCCAUCACCUUGUCCAUUAUGUACAGACCUGCCCCUUCGCUCACCACUUCAGUCACUGUGCCCUAUUACGUGAGGCGCAGGGCUUAGGUGAGAAAUAUUAACAUGUGACAUUGUCAUUAAAUCAUUUUUUUUUUUUACCUGGUAACUGAUAAUUCUGGAAUGUUUGAUCCUGACAGCUGAUUGGACAAGGCACAUCUCAGGUUGUCCUUCUCCUAGGUGUGAUGUCAUCAGUGGGGGAGACAUGGCCGGUGGCGUGUCCUCUGUUGGAGUGUGUGUCUUGUGUAUUUCGGAGUGUUCAGUCACACACAGAAUGUUGUUUCCUUUCCAGGCUUUCAGGACACACACACGCAAGGCUGUCACACACACACACAUCCCAACGGACAAACAUUGUAUCCACCACAACUUGCUGCUGUCCUGCACGCACACACAAAAUCUCAUCAACACGUUUCAAAACACAAUGACUUCACUAAGUGUGUGUUUGUGCUUACAUUCACCAGGACAGGUAUUGUGUGUGUCUUGUCUGUCAGUGUGAAGCAGAAGAAGGAAGUUCCUGCAAUGACUAACAAGGGGCAGACUGAAGCUACAUGGCCGCUGACGGACAAACGCUGUCCUCGGAUCCUUAAGAGACAGAAGGGGGUUAGACGGUCUCGACCCCGCAACAGGGGCGGUCACCGAUCCAUGCAAAAGGCCAGGACUCAAUAGAACCGGAGAGCCAAUCAUCUCCAAGUAGCCCCGAGCAUCUGGCUGCACUUGCUGUGGAGCAUUUUGGGGGAUGUAGUGCCAGUGGGGCAGGAAGACGAGACGAUUCAGCCACAGAGGUGAUGGAGACACAACCUAGGGCGGGACUCAUUUUCCAUGAGUGCAUUAUGUCCAGUCCUACCAAAAUUCACCAUUAACUCUCAGAAGUCCACAACCUUGUAUUCGCGGUCUAUGCAGGUGUUGCACAUAUUUAGAUGAUAGAUCCCUUUCAAGAUUGUGGCGAAAAUCGUUCAAUUA